rnacentral:rRNA from 1 species
UUCGGGGGCAAGUAAAGUGGCGAACGGGUGCGUAACGCGUGAGAAUCUACCUUUCAGUAAAGGAUACCUUCGGGAAACCGAAGCUAAUACUGUAUGAGUCCCUUCGGGGAGAAAGACGGCCUCUUGCUGUCGCUGAGAGAUGAGCUCGCGUACUAUUAGCUUGUUGGUGAGGUAAAGGCUCACCAAGGCUUUGAUGGUUAGCCGACCUAAGAGGGUGAUCGGCCACAUUGGGACUGAGAUACGGCCCAGACUCCUACGGGAGGCAGCAGUGGGGAAUAUUGCACAAUGGGCGAAAGCCUGAUGCAGCGACGCCGCGUGGAGGAUGACGGUUUUCGGAUUGUAAACUCCUGUUAAGUGGGAAGAAAUGCCUGUGAAUAAUAUGCGCAGGAGAUGACGGUACCACUAGAGAAAGCUCCGGCUAACUUCGUGCCAGCAGCCGCGGUAAUACGAGGGGAGCAAGCGUUAUUCGGAAUCACUGGGCGUAAAGGGCGUGUAGGUGGUUAGUUAAGUCAGUUGUUAAAUUUCCCGGCCCAACCGGGAGCAGGCGACUGAUACUGGCUGACUAGAGCGUGGAAGAGAGAAGUGGAAUUAUCGGAGUAGCGGUAAAAUGCGUAGAUCUCGAUAGGAACACCGAUGGCGAAGGCAGCUUCUUGGUCUACUGCUGACACUAAAGCGCGAAAGCGUGGGGAGCAAACAGGAUUAGAUACCCUGGUAGUCCGCGCCGUAAACGAUGAUCACUAGAUGUAGGCUCUGCUUUGGCGAGGCCUGUGUUGUAGCUAACGCAUUAAGUGAUCCGCCUGGGAACUACGGUCGCAAGAUUAAAACUCAAAGGAAUUGACGGGGGUCCGCACAAGCGGUGGAGCAUGUGGUUUAAUUCGACACUACGCGAGGAGCCUUACCUAGGUUUGACAUGUACUCGCCCGCUGUAGAAAUACAGUUUUCCAAGUUUACUUGGACGGGUACACAGGUGCUGCAUGGCUGUCGUCAGCUCGUGUCGUGAGACGUUGGGUUAAGUCCUCUAACGAGCGCAACCCUUGCUGCCAGUUGCUAUCCUUCGGGAGCACUCUGGUGGGACUGCCUGGGAAACCAGGAGGAAGGUGGGGAUGACGUCAAGUCCUCAUGGUCCUUAUACCUAGGGCUACACACGUGUUACAAUGGCUAGUACAAAGGGAGGCGAAGUCGCAAGGCGGAGCAAAUCCCAUAAAGCUAGUCUAAGUUCGGAUUGGAGUCUGCAACCCGACUCCAUGAAGUUGAAAUCGCUAGUAAUCGCGUAUCAGAACGACGCGGUGAAUACGUUCUCGGACCUUGUACACACCGCCCGUCACACCACGAAAAUUGUCUAUACCAGAAAUUGCUUUAGCUAACCCUUCGGGGAGGCGGGUAAUGAAGGUAUGGGGGAUGAUUGGGGUGAAGUCGUAACAAGGUA